rnacentral:rRNA from 1 species
GAUGGAUGUGUGCGCCCAAGCAGUGAGAAAGUCGGAUAGGCAAAUCCGUCCGAUAAUUUCAAGCUGUGACGGGGAGGGAAAUAGAGUACCGAAGUUCCGGAUUUCACACUGCCAAGAAAAGCCUCUAGUAAGUUCAUAGGUGCCCGUACCGCAAACCGACACAGGUAGGCGAGGAGAGAAUCCUAAGGUGAGCGGGAGAACUCUCGUUAAGGAACUCGGCAAAAUGACCCCGUAACUUCGGGAGAAGGGGUGCUCCUUUAAGGAGGAGCCGCAGUGAAUAGGCCCAAGCGACUGUUUAGCAAAAACACAGGUCUCUGCGAAGCCGAAAGGCGAAGUAUAGGGGCUGACACCUGCCCGGUGCUGGAAGGUUAAGGGGAAACGUUAGUGCUUCGGCACGAAGCGUAGAACCGAAGCCCCAGUAAACGGCGGCCGUAACUAUAACGGUCCUAAGGUAGCGAAAUUCCUUGUCGGGUAAGUUCCGACCCGCACGAAAGGUGCAACGACUUGGGCACUGUCUCAACGAGAGACCCGGUGAAAUUAUACUAUGCGUGAAGAUGCGCAUUACCCGCGACAGGACGGAAAGACCCCGUGGAGCUUUACUGUAGCCUGAUAUUGAAUGUUGGUACAGCUUGUACAGGAUAGGUGGGAGCCAUCGAAGCGUGAGCGCUAGCUUACGUGGAGGCAACCGUGGGAUACCACCCUGGCUGUACGAACCUUCUAACCCAGGGCCGUGAUCCGGUCCGGAGACAGUGUCAGGCGGGCAGUUUGACUGGGGCGGUCGCCUCCCAAAAGGUAACGGAGGCGCCCAAAGGUUCCCUCAGAAUGGUUGGAAAUCAUUCGCAGAGUGUAAAGGCAGAAGGGAGCUUGACUGCGAGACCUACAAGUCGAGCAGGGACGAAAGUCGGGCUUAGUGAUCCGGUGGUUCCGCAUGGAAGGGCCAUCGCUCAACGGAUAAAAGCUACCCCGGGGAUAACAGGCUUAUCUCCCCCAAGAGUUCACAUCGACGGGGAGGUUUGGCACCUCGAUGUCGGCUCAUCGCAUCCUGGGGCUGUAGUCGGUCCCAAGGGUUGGGCUGUUCGCCCAUUAAAGCGGUACGCGAGCUGGGUUCAGAACGUCGUGAGACAGUUCGGUCCCUAUCCGUCGUGGGCGCAGGAGGUUUGAGAGGAGCUGUCCUUAGUACGAGAGGACCGGGAUGGACACACCGCUGGUGUACCAGUUGUUCCGCCAGGAGCAUAGCUGGGUAGCUACGUGUGGCAGGGAUAAGUGCUGAAAGCAUCUAAGCAUGAAGCCCCCCUCAAGAUGAGACUUCCCAUCACUAAAAGUGAGUAAGAUCCCUCAGAGAUGAUGAGGUUGAUAGGUCCGAGGUGGAAGCGUGGUGACACGUGUAGCUGACGGAUACUAAUCGAUCGAGGACUUAACU